UACGUAGGUGACUAGCGUUGUCCGGAUUUACUGGGCGUAAAGAGCGCGCAGGCAGUCGUUCAAGUCGAGUGUGAAAGCCCCCGGCUCAACUGGGGAGGGUCACUUGAUACUGAUCGACUCGAAGGCAGGAGAGGGAAGCGGAAUUCCCGGUGUAGUGGUGAAAUGCGUAGAUAUCGGGAGGAACACCAGUGGCGAAGGCGGCUUCCUGGCCUGUUCUUGACGCUGAGGCGCGAAAGCUAGGGGAGCAAACGGG
rnacentral:rRNA from 1 species